rnacentral:rRNA from 1 species
CCUACGGGAGGCUGCAGUGGGGAAUAUUGGACAAUGGGGGGAACCCUGAUCCAGCCAUGCCGCGUGUGUGAAGAAGGCCCUCGGGUUGUAAAGCACUUUCAGUGAGGAAGAACGCCUGGUGGUUAAUACCCAUCAGGAAAGACAUCACUCACAGAAGAAGCACCGGCUAACUCCGUGCCAGCAGCCGCGGUAAUACGGAGGGUGCGAGCGUUAAUCGGAAUUACUGGGCGUAAAGCGCGCGUAGGUGGCUUGAUAAGCCGGUUGUGAAAGCCCCGGGCUCAACCUGGGAACGGCAUCCGGAACUGUCAAGCUAGAGUGCAGGAGAGGAAGGUAGAAUUCCCGGUGUAGCGGUGAAAUGCGUAGAGAUUGGGAGGAAUACCAGUGGCGAAGGCGGCCUUCUGGACUGACACUGACACUGAGGUGCGAAAGCGUGGGUAGCAAACAGGAUUAGAUACCCCGGUAGUC